UGGCAUUUGGUCAAUGGAGUUUAUUGAUGAUGUGACACAGGGCAGAAGCAGCUGGAUGAAUUCUGAGGUGCUCAGAAACAGACUGUCUGCUCGAAUCCAGCCAAACACAGAUAUUGAUUGGACAGCAUGUGAUAAUAUGAAUGGA